GGACCUGACUGCUAUCGGAUUAAUACUAAGCCAUGCGAGUUUUUGUAGUAAUACAAGGCAUACGGCUCAGUAACACGUAGUCAACCUACCUUAUGGACGAGGAUAAUCUCGGGAAACUGAGCAUAAUACUCGAUAGAUCAUAAUGCCUGGAAUGGUUUAUGGUUGAAAUGAUUCGUCGCCAUAAGAUGGGACUGCGGCCUAUCAGCUUGUUGGUGAGGUAAUGGCCCACCAAGACUAUUACAGGUACGGGCUCUGAGAGGAGUAGCCCGGAGAUGGGUACUGAGACACGGACCCAGGCCCUAUGGGGCGCAGCAGGCGAGAAAACUUUGCAAUGUGCGAAAGCACGACAAGGUUAAUCCGAGUGGUUUCUGCUAAAGAAACCUUUUGUCAGUCCUAGAAACACUGAUGAAUAAGGGGUGGGCAAGUUCUGGUGU
rnacentral:rRNA from 1 species